AUUUUGAAUCAUCUUCAAACCUUUUGAAAUAGUUCCAUAAUGAUGACAUCGUAUUUCAUGAAUGGUCUAUCAUCAACAUUAUUUUCAAAAAAAGCGCUCAAACUUUUGUCUUUUGAGGAAAUAAUUUCUUUUACAAAACAAGUUUUCAUCAUAUCAUAUAACCGGCUCUGCUGGGCGAUCUGCUUUUACGAGAUCGGCGCCCAUUAAACUUUAUCCAUCAAUGUUAUAUCAAAAUUUGAAUUUUCUCUCUGCCGAGGUCUGCUUUGACACCUCUUUUUAUCAAUCUGCUGGGCGAUCUGCUUUUACAAGAUCGAAUACUCCUAUAACAUAUUAAUCAAUUGAAUUCGGCUGAUAAAAUUGUUUGCCACAUUUUGACUGGCAUAAUUAAAUCGUUGUUAAUAAAAUGCGAUGUAAACAGCUAGCAUUCUUAUCCGGAUUUUAAAACGUUUUGACAACAAACUUUGAAAAAUU
rnacentral:lncRNA from 1 species